rnacentral:rRNA from 1 species
AUGAACGCUAGCGGGAGGCCUAGCACAUGCAAGCCGAGCGGUAGAGUCUCUUCGGAGACUUGAGAGCGGCGCACGGGUGCGGAACACGUGUGCAACCUGCCUUUAUCUGGGGGAUAGCCUUUCGAAAGGAAGAUUAAUACCCCAUAAUAUACUGGAUGGCAUCAUCUGGUAUUGAAAACUCCGGUGGAUAGAGAUGGGCACGCGCAAGAUUAGAUAGUUGGUGAGGUAACGGCUCACCAAGUCAGCGAUCUUUAGGGGGCCUGAGAGGGUGAUCCCCCACACUGGUACUGAGACACGGACCAGACUCCUACGGGAGGCAGCAGUGAGGAAUAUUGGACAAUGGGUGAGAGCCUGAUCCAGCCAUCCCGCGUGAAGGACGACGGCCCUAUGGGUUGUAAACUUCUUUUGUAUAGGGAUAAACCUAGAUACGUGUAUCUAGCUGAAGGUACUAUACGAAUAAGCACCGGCUAACUCCGUG